rnacentral:rRNA from 1 species
CCUACGGGUGGCAGCAGUCGAGAAUCAUUCACAAUGGGGGAAACCCUGAUGGUGCGACGCCGCGUGGGGGAAUGAAGGUCUUCGGAUUGUAAACCCCUGUCAUGUGGGCGCAAAUUAAAAAGAUAGUACCACAAGAGGAAGAGACGGCUAACUCUGUGCCAGCAGCCGCGGUAAUACAGAGGUCUCAAGCGUUGUUCGGAAUCACUGGGCGUAAGGCGUGCGUAGGCUGUUUCGUAAGUCGUGUGUGAAAGGCGCGGGCUCAACCCGCGGACGGCCCAUGAUACUGCGAGACUAGAGUAAUGGAGGGGGAACCGGAAUUCUCGGUGUAGCAGUGAAAUGCGUAGAUAUCGAGAGGAACACUCGUGGCGAAGGCGGGUUCCUGGACAUUAACUGACGCUGAGGCACGAAGGCCAGGGGAGCGAAAGGGAUUAGAUACCCCGGUAGUC